AGAUGUGAGGGCGAUCUGGCUGCGACAUCUGUCACCCCAUUGAUCGCCAAGGUUGAUUCCGCUGAUCUGGCUGGCUAGGCAGGUGUCCCCUUCCUCCCUCACUGCUCCAUGUGCAUUCCUCCCGAAGCUGCGCGCUCAGUCGAAGAGGACGGGCCUUCCCCUAAUAGAGACUGACCGGUCUUCGGUGGAGGGUAUACGAGUAGCUGCGCUGCCCUGCUAGAACCUCCAAACAAGCUCUCAAGAAAGCAAAGCUUAGGGAGUCGGGUUAAGCGCAGCGGGUUAAGCGCAGGUGGCGCAAAGCAC
ensembl:misc_RNA 7SK 7SK RNA